rnacentral:rRNA from 1 species
GCAGCCUACGGGACGCAGCAGUGAGGAAUAUUGGUCAAUGGGCGGAAGCCUGAACCAGCCAAGUCGCGUGAGGGAAUAAGGCCCUACGGGUCGUAAACCUCUUUUGCCGGGGAGCAAGGGCGGGGACGUGUCCGGGCCGGGAGAGUACCCGGAGAAAAAGCAUCGGCUAACUCCGUGCCAGCAGCCGCGGUAAUACGGAGGAUGCGAGCGUUAUCCGGAUUUAUUGGGUUUAAAGGGUGCGUAGGCGGGCAUUUAAGCCGGCGGUCAAAUGUCGGGGCUCAACCCCGGCCUGCCGUCGGAACUGG